rnacentral:tRNA from 1 species
AGGGGGAUAGUUCACUGGUAGAGCUUCCGCUUCUUAUGCGGGAAGACCUGGGUCCGUUUCCCGGCUCCUUCCC